UUUAGAAUUUUCAAAGAACCA
rnacentral:piRNA from 1 species